rnacentral:rRNA from 1 species
UACGUAGGGUGCAAGCGUUAAUCGGAAUUACUGGGCGUAAAGCGUGCGCAGGCGGUUUUGUAAGUCAGAUGUGAAAUCCCCGGGCUUAACCUGGGAACUGCGUUUGAAACUACAAGGCUAGAGUGUGGCAGAGGGGGUGGAAUUCCACGUGUAGCAGUGAAAUGCGUAGAGAUGUGGAGGAACACCGAUGGCGAAGGCAGCCCCUGGGUUAACACUGACGCUCAGGCACGAAAGCGUGGGAGCAAACAGG